rnacentral:RNase_P_RNA from 2 species
GCAGCAAGCUAGGAGAUCGGGACGUACACUUUUGCUUUGCAAAAUGUUACGUUCAGGAAAGUCCGAACACCCUCCCGAACCAUUAUGGUGAGGGAUAAACUAUUCCGGGUAAUGCCCGGCAGGAGCAAUCCUCGGGGUGCGAACAGUGACGAUGCCAUGCAAGGUGCAUGGAGUGAAACGGCUAAAUCCCUAUAGGGCGCAAGAGUAAACCCAAGAGUUUGCAUUCAUGUAGAGUCUUGGUGAAAAGUAACUCGCUUGAGCCUGAGAGUAAUCGAAGGCCUAGAUAGAUGAUCUCCUCGUCACGCCGAAGCUUUAUGCGAAGGCGGACCAUCCGCCUUCACCAGAGGUUACGGCGUGAUAAAACAGAAUUCGGCUUAUCGGCCUGCUGCGGCA